AGUGGCGAACUGGUGAGUAACACGUGGGUAACCUGCCCAGAAGAAGGGGAUAACACCUGGAAACAGGUGCUAAUACCGUAUAACAACAAAAACCGCAUGGUUUUUGUUUGAAAGGUGGCUUCGGCUAUCACUUCUGGAUGGUUCCGCGGCGCAUUAGCUAGUUGGUGAGGUAAAGGCCCACCAAGGCAAUGAUGCGUAGCAGACCUGAGAGGGUAAUCUGCCACAAUGGGACUGAGACACGGCCCAUACUCC
rnacentral:rRNA from 1 species